UAACCAUCAAGCCUGGCUUGGUAUUGGAGCCCGCCGUCCCGGCGGCUCCCAAACUCAGUGGCGGUGCCGUCUGGCCCUAAGCGUAGUAAUUUUUCUCGCUACAGGACCUGCUGGUAAUUUGCCAUCAACCCCAACUUCUUAA
rnacentral:misc_RNA from 1 species